UCACUUGAUUGGUUUUAGG
rnacentral:siRNA from 1 species